rnacentral:rRNA from 1 species
GAGGAAUAUUGGUCAAUGGGCGCAAGCCUGAACCAGCCAUCCCGCGUGCAGGAAGACGGCCCUAUGGGUUGUAAACUGCUUUUCCAGGGGGAGAAUUUUUCCGUCGUGACGGGAAUUGACGGUACCCUGGGAAUAAGCAUCGGCUAACUCCGUGCCAGCAGCCGCGGUAAUACGGAGGAUGCGAGCGUUAUCCGGAUUUAUUGGGUUUAAAGGGUGCGUAGGCGGAUUGAUAAGUCAGUGGUGAAAACCUGCAGCUUAACUGUAGACUUGCCAUUGAUACUGUCAGUCUUGAGUAUGGUCAAGGUAGGCGGAAUGUGUAAUGUAGCGGUGAAAUGCUUAGAUAUUACACAGAACACCGAUUGCGAAGGCAGCUUGCUGGGCCAUUACUGACGCUGAUGCACGAAAGCGUGGGGAUCGAAC